AAUUUCAUUUAAAAGAAUCUUUUGGCAUGUGCUGUCCCUUUUUUUUGUCCCUCCCUGCAGAUGAAUGCCCUGCUUUCAUGUUUCAUUUUUAAUGUUUUGCUGAGGAGCAAAAAGGGAAUAGAUACACCAAUAAUGAGGUGGGAUGCGACUCGACCAAGAUUAUGAAGCACCAGGUGUUCUCCUAUCAGUCCAUAUCUAGAAUGAAUAUACUGGGACGCAACACCUUUAAGCGCCUUUGAUGGAUAGCUCCUCAAUGCUGUGCUGCCUGGCUGACCUCCAACAAGGUUCUGCUCCACUCAUCAGAAGUCGUGAUGAAACUUGGUCAUUUUAACCGCUGCUGUCCUACAUCACCUCUGUCUUGUGUAUGCUUAAACGUAGAAAAGUCCUAAAGCAUUGGACCCAGCAGUGUUGGGAUUCUGUAUCCACCAUUGUCUCUGAAAUGCAGUGUGCAAACCAUUUUGUGGCAUCAAGAGUGUGUGGGCAAGAAAGCAGAGACUUAGCUUCUCCAGUUGAAACUCAAGGCAGGAUUUAUGCUUUCAUCCAGGAACCUAAAAACAGUCCUAUUCAUGUAUUCAGUGUUUGCACAGAGCACGGCUUUGACACGAAGACUGAGAUGCUGCUUCUCUCUGUGAAGACCGGAAAUCGACACGUCUGCUGAAAAAUGCUGAACCACAUUCACAUACAGAGGAAACAAGUAUUAAAGGUAGGCUAAAAGCAAUCAGUGCCAUUCAGAGAUAAGUGCAUAGUAUUAAUUUUAGCUUUUGAAUUAUCUUCAUCCAGAAGA
rnacentral:lncRNA from 1 species